rnacentral:rRNA from 1 species
CCCUUAGAUGUUCGGGGCCGCACGCGCGCUACACUGAAUGGAUCAACGUGCCUUUCCCGAGGCUGAAAAGUCGAGGUAAUCCGUUGAACCCCAUUCGUGACGGGGAUAGGAGCUUGCAAUUAUUCUCCUUGAACGAGGAAUUCCCAGUAAGCGCGAGUCAUCAGCUCGCGUUGAUUACGUCCCUGCCCUUUGUACACACCGCCCGUCGCUACUACCGAUUGGAUGGUUUAGCGAGAACUUUGGACCGGAGCUCGGGUGGUCAGCAAUGGCCGCCCGAGACAUACUGGGAAAUCGCUCCAGCUUGAUCAUCUAGAGGAAGUAAAAGUCGUAACA